GUCUCUUUGAAGGAUUAAUAAUAAAGAGUUUGGCCUGCUCAGUGAGAUUUUUAACAGCUGCGGUAUUAUAACUGUACUAAGGUAGCAUAAUAAUUUGCCUUAUAAAUUAGGGCUAGAAUGAAUGGUUUGACGAAAAUUAUACUGUCUCUAUUUUAAUUGAUAGAAAUUAAUUUUUAUAGUGAAAAAGCUUAAAUAGUUUAAAGGGACGAGAAGACCCUAUUGAGCUUUAUAUUAGUUAUAAUAAAUAUGAUUUAUUUGAUUAAAUUGAUAUUAUGUUUAUUAUGUUUAAUUUUGAUUGGGGUGAUCAAGGAAUAAGAUGAUAUUAUUUAACUUCCUUAAAAUAAUUUAUUUUUUAGAAUAAUUAACCAAUGAUAUUGCUUAUAUGAUAAGUUACCAUAGGGAUAACAGCGUAAUUUUUUUGGAGAGUUCAUAUUAAAAAAAGAGAUUGCGACCUCGAUGUUGGAUUAAAAUAACCAUAUGGUGAAGAGGCUUUAUAUGGUGAAUCUGUUCGAUUUUUAAAAUUUU
rnacentral:rRNA from 1 species